rnacentral:lncRNA from 1 species
GGUCAAUUUCACGUGAAAUUUUCCGAGCUUUUCAAUUCUGAUGCGAUUAAUCCGCAAUUCGGUCGGGAACCGUGACUUUUAGCAUCGUGACCCCCCUUUACCCCCAAGGGGGGGGGCGCGGGGGGUUUCGGGACCACAAAAUUCGGAUUCCUUGAGGUCAAUUCCCUAUUCAACCCCGUGGUCCACGACUUCGUACGACCUAAAACAACGAGAAAAAAGCCUGGUACGGGUGGUCUGAAACACCCUGUAUCUUCGUAAUCUUCGACCCGUGAGUGUUGCUCUUCACAAGGUUUCAGGUCUGGUGCCGAUAGCAUGGGAGAAUGCAGCAGUGUAUUUUCUUCAAGAAAUACACUAAAAAUUAAAAAACUGGAAAAACCGCCAUUUGCGGUUUUCGUUGGAGCCGAACUAAUUGAAAAUCAACUCGUGAAAUUGCCCGGUCAGGAUGAGGAUACGAGCAUGUGAAUGGCGCUAUCUCUCUCUUGUGAGAUGCAAGCUUUUUAAAAAUAUGAAAUGGUUCAUUGACUGGAGGACUGUUUUCUGUUUCAGAGCUAUAACCUGUUAUUAACUUCUGAAGAUCAAUUUGUCUUAAGGAAGUCAGCAAGUAGUUAAAGAUCCCACCUUACUGGUUCAUACAGUCAGCUUCGCAGGGCCCAGAAAAUCUCUAAGGAGAUUUUAAACAAUGUCGACAAAUUUUACCGCUGCACAAGCUGUCAUAAAUCAAUCGAUCAUCUGUCAUCUGGGAAGAAUCUCACCCGGAGGUUAUGCUCAAUCACUUCUCAAGACUUCAAUUUUUAUCGGAAAUCGGUUGAAAAGGAUCACUCGACCAUUCAACUAAGAAAUUUGCUUACAUGGAGCACUCUAUCCAAUCUUUUUAGUUAUUUUAUCUGGGAUAAAUUAUUUCAUGCUUUCUAUUUUAUUUUUAUCAAAAGUUUGGCAAGUGCUACCUCAUUAAACGCUUUAAGAGUAAUAGCUCCAAGAUUUUACUGCCAUUAAUUGAGGCGCCGGAUGCGAGAAGGGCACCUCUUGAUUGUGGCGUUUUAAAAUCUUUGUUGUUAAUUUAUGUCUGAGAGGAGAAUUUAAUGGGCGACUAUCCGUGAUUUUUUCUACCUAAAUACUGUAGAUUUUUGAAAAUUCAGUAAAAUAUCAAUGAAAUGCAUCCGUUUACUUUCCUGACAAUGAAUAAACUAUUAGCGGAGAUUCUGAAAUAUCGCAACAAAGAAGUGCUCUUCUCGCACUCAGAAUCUUAAUUAUCUGGCUCAUAGAUGGAAAAGUAUUGAUUUCUUUAUUUACCAAAUUAGAAU